GGUUCCGCGGCGGCCGCGCUCCGGGAGACUUCCGGCAGGGCGGGCGCGGGGUCUUGGCGAACGGUCUUCGGAAGCGGCGGCGGCGCGAUGACCACGCUACGGGCCUUCACCUGCGACGACCUGUUCCGCUUCAACAACAUUCCUGGAUCCACUUUAAAAAAAACAACAGGGCGGUAUGUGAAAACUAAGGACCAAGUGGUUCCGAUUCAAGUGUCAGGAAGAUGGAAAGAACUAUGGGAUAAGAUGGCUGGGAACAUUUCAAAGAGGGGGUGAGCCUUGAAGAUGGAUAACACAUUGUAACUUGGAUCCACUUACAGAAACUUAUGGGAUUCCUUUCUACCUACAAUACCUCGCCCACUGGCCAGAGUAUUUCAUUGUUGCAGAGGCACCUGGUGGAGAAUUAAUGGGUUAUAUUAUGGGUAAAGCAGAAGGCUCAGUAGCUAGGGAAGAAUGGCACGGGCACGUCACAGCUCUGUCUGUUGCCCCAGAAUUUCGACGCCUUGGUUUGGCUGCUAAACUUAUGGAGUUACUAGAGGAGAUUUCAGAAAGAAAGGGUGGAUUUUUUGUCGAUCUCUUUGUAAGAGUAUCUAACCAAGUUGCAGUUAACAUGUACAAGCAGUUGGGCUACAGUGUAUAUAGGACGGUCAUAGAGUACUAUUCGGCCAGCAACGGGGAGCCUGAUGAGGACGCUUAUGAUAUGAGGAAAGCACUUUCCAGGGAUACUGAGAAGAAAUCCAUCAUACCAUUACCUCAUCCUGUGAGGCCUGAAGACAUUGAAUAACCCUGGGCAGUGGUUCUUAGGCAGAUACUCUAGAUGCUUUAUGGACAAUAUUAUUUUCAUUGGAUGAUUCUGGAGCUCUAUUAGGAGAAAAGUAAUCAUUUUAGGUCUUAAAGACUUCAAGAAAAUACAGGUUAUCAAUUUAUUUUAAAUCUCAUUGUUUCCAGUUAGCAAUAUCAUACCUAUUAAAGCUGUUCAUUGUAACAAAAUUCAAUCAAAAAGGCAGCUAGGUCAGAAGGAAACAUACCACUCUCAUGGUUCAUAGUAUUCACUGUAUGUAUGCUAGGGAAAAGACUUGCUCCAGUCUCCUCCUCAAUUCUGUGCCUGAGAACCACUGCUGCAUAUAUUUGUUUUUAAAUUUUGUAUUGAACUGUUAAUUGAAGCUUUAAAAGCAUAUAUGAAAUGUAUAAAUCUAAGAUGUAUAAUACAUUGUUGACUCUAUGAA
rnacentral:sRNA from 1 species